CGCGCGCAGUUUUACUUUCCCUCUCUCUUUUCGGCGCCAUGUUUUCCCCUUCGCAUUCCCGACCCCUAGCCAUUUUUCUUUCCCUCUCCUCAUACAAUCUCUUCACGCUAUCCUAUCGACCGACUGUCCGCCUCCGCCUCCGCCUCCGCCUCCGCUGGAUCUUCCUCUACGACGGUCAAAGAAGGGGAAGGGCAUGAGAUUGAAUGGAGGAAGGGGAGAAGGCGGGGCGGGAGUAAGAUGAGCGCCGCCGCGAUCGCUCCUCCCGUCGAGGAUCUCAUGCCCUUGAGCCGCUCCUCGCCGUGCGAUGGAUGAGACGUAGGGUUCCGUCGGAACCACAACCAGCUUGUCCCUCAGGUUGGGGCAGGCGAUCUUCUCCUCCGCCGCCCUACUCCUCAUGUCCGUCGGCGUCAAGUUCUACAGCUAUACUGCUUUCUGCUGAUAACGCGGCACCUGCCGAGGAGCUCCAGCAUCGUGAGCCUACGGGAGGCGUGCGAGGAUGACGGAGUUGUGCAUUUGGUCAUGGAGUUGUGUGAGGGCGGGGAGCUCUUUGACCGCAUUGUGGCGAGGGGCCACUAGUCAGAGCGCGCGGCAGCUGUGGUCAUGAAGACCAUUGUUGAGGUCGUGCAGCUCUGCCAUUGCCAUGGGGUGAUCCAUCGAGACCUCGAGCCAGAGAAUUUCUUGUUUUCAAACAAGAAGGAGAACUCACCCUUGAAGGCAAUUGACUUUGGGCUGUCAAUAUUCUUCCAGCCUGCUGAUAACGCGGCACCUGCCGAGGAGCUCCAGCAUCGUGAGCCUACGGGAGGCGUGCGAGGACGACGGAGUUGUGCAUUUGGUCAUGGAGCUGUGUGAGGGCGGGGAGCUCUUUGACCGCAUUGUGGCGAGGGGCCACUAGUCAGAGCGCGCGGCAGCUGUGGUCAUGAAGACCAUUGUUGAGGUCGUGCAGCUCUGCCAUUGCCAAGGGGUGAUCCAUCGAGACCUCGAGCCAGAGAAUUUCUUGUUUGCAAACAAGAAGGAGAACUCGCCCUUGAAGGCAAUUGACUUUGGGUUGUCAAUAUUCUUCCAGCCUAGUGAAUGAUUUUCUGAGAUAGUUGGAAGCCCUUAUUACAUGGCUCCAUAAGUUUUUAAAUGGAAUUAUGGACCAGAAAUUGAUAUAUCAAGUGCUGGAGUUAUACUCUAUAUCUUACUGUGUGGAGUUCCCCUAUUUUGGGCUGAAACUGCACAGGGAGUUGCACAAGCAAUUCUUGUUGUACGAAGGAGCUUGAAAUUGUUCAAUUCGAACAAGGAAAGGAGAGGAAAAAAGAAGCCUACGUGGAAAGUUGUAAAGGGUCCUCGACAACCUAAUGCGAAACAAUGUGAGUUUUAUGUGAUGAAAUUUAUGAGAGAAAUUAUUGAAGGAAAUGCUACCAGCGAGAAGGAUUCACUUAGCUCAAUGUGAUGCUUUAUUGAAAGAAAUUAAGGCGACGGUAGUUCGACAUCCAGAUACUUUGACUAUGGAAACUAUAAAAGAAGGCAAUAAGGGCUAUGCUGCAGAGAUUUUGGUUGUCACAUACAAUCAACAUAUGGAGGAUGUAGAUGACCAAUCAAAGUUUAGGAUACUUCUGAGCUUUGGACAGCAUGGGAGAGAACUUAUUACCUCUGAGGUAGCUUGGCAACUACUUUCUGUUUUAGCCAAAGAAUGUAAUAUGCAAAGAGUGGAUCUUAUGUUCAUCCACAAACUGCUGGAUAACCUUGUCGUAAAGGUAACAUAAAACAAGAACUUGAAAGAAAAUCUUUUGACAGAUCAUACAAAUACUAAAUCCUGAAAUCACCAGUCAUUUGUUAGUUUUACACUUUUCUUAGAUAAAUUGUUUUUAGAUCAUUGUAAUUUCAAGUCAUACCAGAACUCUGAACUGGAUGAUAUGCAUUAGUCACUUGAAAAUAUCUUUCAUUUUAUCCCUCUCAUUUUAAAAUCAGUUCUGAAUUCUGCUCUUCUUUAGUUCCUGUAUCUACUGUUAGUUUUUAUUACAUUAGUUCCUAUUUUUAGACCAUUAAGCCUAACUCCCUCACUAUUGAAGUAUAAAUGCAGGUGCACAUGGUAGUUUCUUAUGUCACUUUCUAUAAAAGGUUUAAAAGUGAUUGAUAUGGUGCACAUGGAAGUUACCAAGACAACUCUAAACAUUGAGUGUUGUCCUGGAAUUUUGGAAAUUCUUCUCUCAUGUCCAGAUAUUAGAGCUAUGUGAAAUAUUUAUUCUCUGUUUACAGUUCAUGCAGUACUUACUACAAUUCUCUUUUUUCUUAUAUUUUAUAUUUUUCUUUGAUAAGUUUUGUUUAAUUUUUCUCUUAUAGGUACGUAACUCGGGCAAUUCGUGAGGCUUGAGAUUUUUGAUGCAAGGAGUGAGCUUUGUUAGGUUUUAUCUUGCCUUGCUAAUGUGUAAAAGUCAUAUGAAAAACAGUAAUGGAAAGCAUGUGAUUUAUGGUUUGAUACUACUAAGUUUGAUGAGUACAACUCAUUUUGUA